UACAUGUGGGGCAAGCGUUGUUCGGAAUUACUGGGCAUAAAGGGUGCGUAGGCGGCUUGUUAAGUCACUGGUGAAAGUUUGCGGCCCAACCGUAAAAUUGCCUGUGAUACUGGCGAGCUUGAGUGCGUGAGGGGUAGGGGGAACGAGCAGUGUAGCGGUGAAAUGCGUAGAUAUCUGGAGGAACACCGGUGGCGAAGGCGGCAUCCUGGACCGACACUGACACUGAGGAGCGAAAGCCAGGGGAGCAAACAGG
rnacentral:rRNA from 1 species